rnacentral:lncRNA from 1 species
GCUUCCCCUGACGAUUGGUAUGAAUUCGUAUAUAACAUGAAAAGAAUAAAAAUAAAUUUCAAUUUAUUUUACUCGGCGAAUCAGAAUUAGACUGACCUCAAUGCGGGAACCGUAUAGGUGAUACACAAAAAAAAUAAAAUAUUCUAUACCACAUGGAGAACCUUAGUAGCUGGGUUGGUUGGCUAAUAAGCUUUCACCGAGGAUUCAAUUCCUCACGUUAUAAUUCCCUUCCCAAUUUUCCAUUCCUUACCCCCUCCCAAAAAAAAAGUUUAAAAAGAUCAUCGGUGCAUUUUAAUAUAUUGUUUACCUAUCCCAAUUUAUGUGUGGGGUUCAUAAUUAGGGAAAAAAAUACUUUUAAAAUUUGUGGUAUAAAAUAAACAAUAGAUAUUUGUAUUACUAUAAAUUAUCUCACUAAGGGUAAAAGGAGAAGUAGUUAAAUUAUUUUUAAUUGAAUAAACUAACUACAAAAGCAUGUAGUAUAAAAUAGGGAGAGAAAGUAAUAGGUUAUUUAUUGUUUUUUUAGAUUAUCAAAUUAUGAUAACUAUAAAAAAUUACAUAAUGUUAUAGAUCAUCAAAAUUAUAGACUGCUAAUGCGCAAAAGUUUUAAGUCAUAAAAUGAAACUUACUUUAGACAUGUUUUUUUUGUUUUAUGAUGCAGUUAUGUAUUGGCUUCCUAUGCGCACUUUCUUUGGGAUGCAGAGGAUGAAGAGGAAGAAGAAGAAGAGAGACAAAACAUGAGCGGCAUUAACUUAUCACAAUUUACAACCUAGUUUCUUCAUAUAACUCACUGCCUCUUAAGUUUGAUUUCUCUGUUUAUGUUGUAGUAAAAAUAUAAUUAACCUUCUAACUUUUUUUGUUUUCUGUACCUUUCACCCUUUUGGGUUGUUAUGCUUUCUAACCUUUCAUUUCCCUUGACUACCGAGCAUUUUCACGGGUUCAGUU